GCCGACUUAGCUCAGCUGGCAGAGCGGCGCUUUCGUAAAGCGUAGGUCGUCGGUUCGAAUCCGACAGUCGGCUCAA
rnacentral:tRNA from 1 species